GAUGAACGCUGGCGGCGUGCCUAAUACAUGCAAGUCGAGCGAACGGACGAGAAGCUCGCGCCCCUGCUGUUAGCGACGGACGGGCGAGUAACACGUGCAUAACCUACUUCUAAUACUGGGAUAAUUUCGGGAAACCGCUGCUACUACUGGCUCAUACUAUGUACCGCAGGGAGCAAAAGUGCUUGACGGCUUUGCCGUCUGUUUUAGACGGUUCCGCGCUGCAUUAGCUAGUUGGUAAGGUAACGGCUUACCAAGGCAACGAUGCAUAGCUGACCUGAGAGGGUGAUCGGCCACACUGGAACUGAGACACGGUCCAGACUCCUACGGGAGGCAGCAGUGGGGAAUCUUCCGCAAUGGGCGAAAGCCUGACGGAGCCACGCCGCGUGAGUGAAGAAGGUCUUCGGGUCGUAAAACUCUGUUGUUGGGGAAGAACAGAUGUGUGUGUAACUGUGGACAUCUUGACGGUACCUAAUCAAAAAGCACCGGCUAACUUCGUG
rnacentral:rRNA from 1 species